GAAGCCUACCCGGGUAACCGUUAGCCAUGGGCCUGGAAUCGAGACGUGCAGUCAGUCCGGUAACGGACUGGUUGAUGCGUCGUCAGGAGAGGAGGCGAGGUGCAAGGGUAACAGGUGAAGCUGACCUUGAAGGUGUUGAGCUCCGAAAAGACCGACGUUGGGAGCGGCCGAUGGUUUAAAUGGGCCAGCAGGCAACAGCGCCGUAUGCGCCAUGCCGAGUACGCAGCGUCCCCCCGGAGUCGAGCCUC
rfam:Thiocapsa marina 5811 ctg448, whole genome shotgun sequence.